ensembl:lncRNA
AAUGAUGGCAGAUUUCAAAGACCGAAGCCUGGGUUCAGACUGUACUGUGUCAUUUCUUACAUCCUAUUGCCCAAAAUGGUGAGAAAUAGAAGAGAUGAACUGAAAAGAAAUGAGGAAAACAAAGUAACACCAAACUGCCACAUAUAUUUUCACUCCUAAAAUCACAGAACUAAUUGAAGUUUCUUCAAAGGACGUCAAGAUCGGUCCAAUUGGUCAUGAAAAUAUGCUGCCAGGACCACAGAGAACUAAGCAAAGACUGGAGUGAUGGAUCUGCAAGCCAAGAAGUCCAAGGACUAAUUGCCAACACCAACAGCCAUGAAGACACAAGGAAGGAUUCUUCCAAGGUUUGAGAGGGAUCAUGGCUCUGCUAACACCUUGAUUUUGGACUUCCAGAAAUCUGAUGUGUGCAGAAUUAAAAUUUUGUUGCUUUAAACCUUC